UACAGAGGUCUCGAGCGUUGUUCGGAUUCAUUGGGCGUAAAGGGUGCGUAGGUGGCGCUGUAAGUCGGGUGUGAAAUCCUGGGGCUUAACCCCGGAACUGCAUUCGAUACUGCAGUGCUUGAGGACUGGAGAGGAGACUGGAAUUCAUGGUGUAGCAGUGAAAUGCGUAGAGAUCAUGAGGAAGACCAGUGGCGAAGGCGGGUCUCUGGACAGUUCCUGACACUGAGGCACGAAGGCCAGGGGAGCAAACGGG
rnacentral:rRNA from 1 species